rnacentral:rRNA from 1 species
AGCCAGACUCCUACGGGAGGCAGCAGUGGGGAAUAUUGCACAAUGGGGGAAACCCUGAUGCAGCGACGCCGCGUGAGUGAGGAAGUAUUUCGGUAUGUAAAGCUCUAUCAGCAGGGAAGAAAAUGACGGUACCUGACUAAGAAGCCCCGGCUAACUACGUGCCAGCAGCCGCGGUAAUACGUAGGGGGCGAGCGUUAUCCGGAUUUACUGGGUGUAAAGGGAGCGUAGACGGCUGGGCAAGCCUGAUGUGAAAGGCGGGGGCGCAACCCUCGGACUGCAUUGGGAACUGUCCGGCUGGAGCGCCGGAGGGGUAAGCGGAAUUCCUGGUGUAGCGGUGAAAUGCGUAGAUAUCAGGAGGAACACCGGUGGCGAAGGCGGCUUACUGGACUGUAACUGACGUUGAGGCUCGAAAGCGUGGGGAGCAAACAGGAUUAGAUACCCCAGUA